GGUGAGGUGGCUGAGUGGUCGAAAGCGGCGCUUUGCUAAAGCGUUGUACUCUUUAUCGGGUACCGAGGGUUCGAAUCCCUCCCUCACCG
rnacentral:tRNA from 1 species